rnacentral:rRNA from 1 species
AGUGAACGCUGGCGGUAGGCCUAACACAUGCAAGUCGAACGGCAGCACAGUAAGAGCUUGCUCUUACGGGUGGCGAGUGGCGGACGGGUGAGGAAUACAUCGGAAUCUACUUUUUCGUGGGGGAUAACGUAGGGAAACUUACGCUAAUACCGCAUACGACCUACGGGUGAAAGCAGGGGAUCUUCGGACCUUGCGCGAUUGAAUGAGCCGAUGUCGGAUUAGCUAGUUGGCGGGGUAAAGGCCCACCAAGGCGACGAUCCGUAGCUGGUCUGAGAGGAUGAUCAGCGACACUGGAACUGAGACACGGUCCAGACUCCUACGGGAGGCAGCAGUAGGGAAUAUUGGACAAUGGGCGCAAGCCUGAUCCAGCCAUACCGCGUGGGUGAAGAAGGCCUUCGGGUUGUAAAGCCCUUUUGUUGGGAAAGAAAAGCAGCAGGUUAAUACCCCGCUGUUCUGACGGUACCCAAAGAAUAAGCACCGGCUAACUUCGUG